CACGUAGGGCGCGAGCGUUGUCCGGAAUUAUUGGGCGUAAAGAGCUCGUAGGCGGCCUGUUGCGUCCGCUGUGAAAGCCCGGGGCUUAACUCCGGGUCGGCAGUGGAUACGGGCAGGCUAGAGGUAGGUAGGGGAGAAUGGAAUUCCCGGUGUAGCGGUGAAAUGCGCAGAUAUCGGGAGGAACACCGGUGGCGAAGGCGGUUCUCUGGGCCCUACCUGACGCUGAGGAGCGAAAGCGUGGGGAGCGAACAGG
rnacentral:rRNA from 1 species